rnacentral:rRNA from 1 species
GCCGCCGCGGUAAUACGGAGGAUGCGAGCGUUAUCCGGAUUUAUUGGGUUUAAAGGGAGCGUAGGUGGUCCGUUAAGCCAGCUGUGAAAUACUGUAGCUCAACUACAGCCGUGCAGUUGGAACUGGCAGACUUGAGUGCACUAGAGGAAGGUGGAAUUCGUGGUGUAGCGGUGAAAUGUUUAGAUAUCACGAAGAACUCCGAUUGCGAAGGCAGCCUUCUGGAGUGUAACUGACACUGAGGCUCGAAAGUGUGGGUAUCGAACAGGAUUAGAUACCCC